rnacentral:sRNA from 1 species
UGAACCUUACCUCUUGCCGCGCGUUGCCUCGGCGGGGAGGCGGGGGUGGAUCGGCGCGCCCCUCUGCGCGCCGCCGUCCCCGCCCCCGUCCCCGCCGGCCGCGCCAAACUCUAAAUUUGCAAAGCGGACUGCACGUUGUGAUUUAAAACAAAAAACAAGUAAAAACUUUUAACAACGGAUCUCUUGGUUCUGGCAUCGAUGAAGAAGGCAGCGAAAUGCGAUAAGUAAUGUGAAUUGCAGAAUUCAGUGAAUCAUCGAAUCUUUGAACGCACAUUCCGCCCGGCAGCAAUCUGCCGGGCAUGCCUGUCCGAGCGUCAUUUCUCCCCUCGAGCGCGGCUAGCCCUUCGGGGCCUGCCGCCGCCCGGUGUUGGGGCUCUACGGGUGGGCUCGUCCCCCCCGCAGUCCCCGAAAUGAAGUGGCGGUCCAGCCGCGGCGCCCCCUGCGUAGUAGAUCCUACAUCUCGCAUCGGGUCCCGGCGAAGGC